GAUGAACGCUGGCGGCGUGCCUAAUACAUGCAAGUCGAGCGAACAGACGAGGCGCUUGCUCCGCGGACGUUAGCGGCGCGCGGGAGUGUAACACGUGGAUAACCUACCUAUAAGAGUGAGAUAACUUCGGAACACCGGAGCUAAUCCCGGAUGAUCUAUUGAACCGCAUGGGUGGAUGGUGAAAGACGGCGUUGCUGUCACUUAUCGCUGGAUCCGCGCCGCAUUAGCUGGUUGGUAAGUUAACGGCCUACCAAGGCAACGAUGCGUAGCCGACCGCAGAGGGGGAUAGGCGGCAUUGGAACUGAGACGGGGUCCAGACUACUACGGGAGGCAGCAGUAGGGAAUCGGCGGCAAUAGGCGAGAGCAUGACGGAGCAACGCCGCGUGAGUGAUGAAGGUCUCCGGAUCGUAAAACUCGGUUAUGAGUGAAGAACAAAUGUGGAAGUAACUAUGCACGUCGUGACGGUACUGAAUCAGAAAGCAACGGCUAACUACGUG
rnacentral:rRNA from 1 species